rnacentral:rRNA from 1 species
CCUACGGGUGGCUGCAGUGAGGAAUAUUGGUCAAUGGACGCAAGUCUGAACCAGCCAUGCCGCGUGCAGGAAGACGGCUCUAUGAGUUGUAAACUGCUUUUGUACGAGGGUAAACGCAGAUACGCGUAUCUGUCUGACAGUAUCGUACGAAUAAGGAUCGGCUCACUACGUGACAGCAGACGCGGCAAUACGGAGGAUACAAGCGUUAUCCGGAUUGAUUGGGUUUAAAGGGUGCGUAGGCGGUCGGAUAAGUUAGAGGUGAAAUCCCGAGGCUCAACUUCGGAAUUGCCUCUGAUACUGGUCGGCUAGAGAGUAGUAGCGGUAGGCGGAAUGUAUGGUGUAGCGGUGAAAUGCUUAGAGAUCAGACAGAACACCGAUGGCGAAGGCAGCUUACCAGGCUACUUCUGACGUUGAGGUACGAAAGCGUGGGGAGCAAACAGGAUUAGAUACCCCAGUAGUC